rfam:Alligator mississippiensis ScZkoYb_106, whole genome shotgun sequence.
CAGAGCAGUCAUGCCAGGUGCAAUGCACCUGAUUUCACUUGAUCUUGGAAGUUAAGCAGCCCUGGACCUAGCUAGUACUUGGUUGGGAACCCAUUUUGUAACCCUAGGUGUCCUAGA